GUGCCAGCCGCCGCGGUAAGACGAACCGUGCGAACGUUGUUCGGAAUCACUGGGCUUAAAGGGCGCGUAGGCGGACCGAAAAGUCAGGGGUGAAAUCCUCCAGCUUAACUGGAGAACAGCCUUUGAUACUGGCGGUCUCGAGGAAGGUAGGGGCAUGCGGAACUGAUGGUGGAGCGGUGAAAUGUGUUGAUAUCAUCAGGAACUCCGGUGGCGAAAGCGGCGUGCUGGACCUUUUCUGACGCUGAGGCGCGAAAGCCAGGGGAGCAAACGGGAUUAGAAACCCCCGUAGUCC
rnacentral:rRNA from 1 species